rnacentral:rRNA from 1 species
UACGUAGGGACCAAGCGUUGUUCGGAUUUACUGGGCGUAAAGGGCGCGUAGGCGGCAAUUCAAGUCAUCUGUGAAGUCUCCGGGCUUAACUCGGAACGGUCAGAUGAUACUGCUUUGCUCGAGUGCGGAAGGGGCAAUCGGAAUUCUUGGUGUAGCGGUGAAAUGCGUAGAUACCAAGAGGAACACCUGAGGUGAAGACGGGUUGCUGGGCCGACACUGACGCUGACAGCGCGAAAGCCAGGGGAGCAAACGGG